GCUGCUGAAUAGCUCAGUUGGUUAGAGCGUUGUGCUUAUAACAUCAAAGUCACAGGCUUGAUCCCCAUAUGGGACAGCUGCA